AUGGUAUUACCCAAUGCCGCUCUCGAUGGGGCCCUCCGCCAGCGGUGGCUUCGUCAACGUCGUCGCCGCCUUCGAGGGCAAGUUGUCGCCCCUGCUGGACCACUUUUUUCCGCUCGCACGCCGCAUCGUGGCCAACCCGCGGACAUGGCUCCCAGAGGUGCACUGCGACAACCAGGGCGCGGAGCUUGUCGUCGUUGA
rnacentral:rRNA from 1 species